UAACAAUCAAUUCAAGCCCAUAUGUCAUGGAACGACAAAGAGGAUCAACUUAUGUCCUAGGAUGUCCAUUAUCGAAGGAAACAUCAUAACCAUGGCUUGAGUAAGGUCCUACCGUGCCCUAGCUAGGAGAGACCUGCUACCAUCUUAGCUUAGUUAAGUGUCUUACGGCUAAAUAUGCAAUGGGUCCUCUUUGGCCCUUCGGUCUAGCGCGGUUUGGACGACUGGGAUCGGUGCACAAUUUUUUCUUAAGAAAAGGUUAUAACCCGCAACCUACGACAUGAAUUUCCAUAAAUUUAUUAUGGAAGAUCUCUAGCAAAUCCAUGACAUAAAAUUACUCAAUCAGAGUACAUAGCAGUCGACAAUGGCAGAACCAUUUACAAAGAUGAUAUCGAUAACCCACUUAGACCCAAUCUUCUAAAGCAAGGCCUUCAAGAAAAAAUUGUGCACUCGCGCCGACGGCGCUAGAUAUCCAGUCUUUGAAGAUCGAGAAAGAGAUUUUCAUUUCAUCAUAUUUUUUUUCGGGAAGGGGGAACUCUCGCCUCUGCACCAUGACGUAGACGCAAGUGUGUCGCCAUGCGAGUCACACAGCAGACAGCACUACUCCGACGAAAAGCUCCAUUUAUCGCCUCUCCUUUAGCUUUGAUCUUUAUUUGCGAUGAGUCAGUUUGCGGUUGUGCAUCCGGUGGUGGGAGAGUAGACAGGUACCUGCAGUUACUCUGAUUGGGCUGGCUGGAGAAAAAGGAACGACGGGAGAGGAGACAGAUACCUGCAGUUACUAGUACCGCUGUCAACCCUCCUGAUUGGGCUGGCUCGAGAAAAAGGAACCAUGAUCUCCAUAGCAGUGGCCACGAUGGGUAGGGGCGAGAGGGCUUUUCUUGAUUUGCCAGGAACGGGGGUACAGGCAGUACAUGGAGAUCAUUACUUGCUAGUAACAUGCAGCAAUCAAUUCAAGCCCUCAUGACGUCUCUCUCGAGCCCCCACACGGCCGGACGGACGGACACGGUACCCGUCCCUCCCGGCGACGGCAUGUGCAGCCCCCUGGCCGGAGACCCGGACGCCAACAGUGCGGUGACUACAGGUGUAUGGUGGUGCAGGGCAGCCCGUUGCUACACGUUGG
rnacentral:lncRNA from 1 species